GACGAACGCUGGCGGCGUGCUUAACACAUGCAAGUCGAACGGAAAGGCCCUGCCUUUGUGGGGUGCUCGAGUGGCGAACGGGUGAGUAACACGUGAGUAACCUGCCCUUGACUUUGGGAUAACUUCAGGAAACUGGGGCUAAUACCGGAUAGGAGCUCCUGCUGCAUGGUGGGGGUUGGAAAGUUUCGGCGGUUGGGGAUGGACUCGCGGCUUAUCAGCUUGUUGGUGGGGUAGUGGCUUACCAAGGCUUUGACGGGUAGCCGGCCUGAGAGGGUGACCGGCCACAGUGGGACUGAGAUACGGCCCAGACUCCAACGGGAGGCAGCAGUGGGGAAUAUUGCACAAUGGGCGGAAGCCUGAUGCAGCAACGCCGCGUGCGGGAUGACGGCCUUCGGGUUGUAAACCGCUUUCGCCUGGGACGAAGCGUGAGUGACGGUAAUGGGUAAAGAAGCACCGGCUAACUACGUG
rnacentral:rRNA from 1 species